rnacentral:rRNA from 1 species
UACGGAGGGUGCGAGCGUUGUCCGGAAUCACUGGGCGUAAAGGGCGCGUAGGCGGCGCGAGAAGUCAACGGUGAAAGCCCGGGGCUCAACCCCGGGUCGGCCGUCGAUACUCUUGGGCUCGAGCACUGUAGAGGCAGGUGGAAUUCCGGGUGUAGCGGUGGAAUGCGUAGAUAUCUGGAGGAACACCGGUGGCGAAGGCGGCAUCCUGGACCGGUAUUGACGCUGAGGCGCGAAAGCUAGGGGAGCAAACGGG